rnacentral:rRNA from 1 species
UACGUAGGGUGCAAGCGUUGUCCGGAAUUAUUGGGCGUAAAGAGCUCGUAGGCGGUCUGUCACGUCGGCUGUGAAAACCCGAGGCUCAACCUCGCGCCUGCAGUGGGUACGGGCAGACUAGAGUGUGGUAGGGGAGAUUGGAAUUCCUGGUGUAGCGGUGGAAUGCGCAGAUAUCAGGAGGAACACCGAUGGCGAAGGCAGAUCUCUGGGCCAUUACUGACGCUGAGGAGCGAAAGCGUGGGGAGCAAACAGG